AUUGAACGCUGGCGGCAGGCCUAACACAUGCAAGUCGAGCGGAUGAAGGGAGCUUGCUCCUGGAUUCAGCGGCGGACGGGUGAGUAAUGCCUAGGAAUCUGCCUGGUAGUGGGGGAUAACGUCCGGAAACGGGCGCUAAUACCGCAUACGUCCUGAGGGAGAAAGUGGGGGAUCUUCGGACCUCACGCUAUCAGAUGAGCCUAGGUCGGAUUAGCUAGUUGGUGGGGUAAAGGCCUACCAAGGCGACGAUCCGUAACUGGUCUGAGAGGAUGAUCAGUCACACUGGAACUGAGACACGGUCCAGACUCCUACGGGAGGCGGCAGUGUGGAAUAUUGGACAAUGGUCGAAAGCCUGAUCCAGCCAUGCCGCGUGUGUGAAGAAGGUCUUCGGAUUGUAAAGCACUUUAAGUUGGGAGGAAGGGCAGUAAGUUAAUACCUUGCUGUUUUGACGUUACCAACAGAAUAAGCACCGGCUAACUUCGUG
rnacentral:rRNA from 1 species